GCGGGAGGGAAAAUGGCGAGCGACUUUGGUGUAGGUCAGGGUUUUGCUUUAGUUGCUGCAAGAAGUAGUAGGAGAACGGUCGGAAAAAAACCCAAAAUUUAAGUUCGUGAUUAGUGUUUGAAUAACUCAAACCGCCGGGGACCCUAACUAAAGGGCCCCGGAAAUUUAAAAGAUUUGGGAAGUGAAAACUUACCAGGCGGACCUAACCUGGUCGUCGUCCACCAGCCGCCGCAGCAUUAGCCGCAACAGCAUUGGCCGCAGCAGCAUCAGCAGCAGCAGCAUCAGCCGCAGCAGAAUUAGCCGCAGCAGCAUCAGCCGCAGCAGCAGCGAUCAGUAGCAGCAGCAGCAGCCUCAAGGGCCAGCAGCUACAGCGACUGCCUCCAAGACGGCCAGAUACGGAGAUUCCUUCGGUGAGUCCGUUCCGGGAACGAAUGCCCGCGCUGGCCACGUGGUCAUCUCCAAGUCCACCGACGCCCUGCUUCCGGCCACGCUACGCUAUCCUCCGGACCAAUUGGCUCCGUGCGGACUCGCGCUGGUUUUCGCCGUCAGCGUUUUUUCUGCUGCAGUUUCAACCACAUCCGACGUUGAACUCUGCAAUAAAUAAGUUUUAGUUAUUGUUUUGUGAUAUCAUGCAGUCAAGAUUGUAAAGUACUUACUGUGAAAUCUAAUCUAAAUUUAGAGGCUCAAGCCCGAACCCUAGCCGCGCGUCCAACUACAUCUAAAUUGGGUCGCGAAAUUUAAUAACUUGUGGGAUUUGUUUAGCGUACUUACCUUAUCAGCACGUCCCUUUUUUUCCCUUGGAGCUCCUCAGGAUUAGGCGACCCGGUUGGCAAACGCCUCCAAUUUAGUGCCGUGCGGCGACUUUGCCUGACACUUGGAACUUUAAGCGUCUAAAAAUUUCCCUUUCGGUUGUUUCCGCUUUGACCGCUUCUCAUCUGGGCGACGGUCUGAGAUCGGCCUUAAGAGUUUCUAACGAAAAGAAUAGAUUAUCAGUAGGAAUCAAUAAUGAAUGUAUUUACUUAUUAAUCUUGCCAAGAAUUAAAUGUGAACAAGCUACCGA